AAACUUUUUCCCCUUUGUUCCUAUUAUCUCCUCCUCAUCUUCUCCCCCUUGUAUGAUCGAAUGUGAAAUGGUGAAACUUUCACUUUUGGGCAAAUCACUUUGUACAGACAGAAAGCUAAUAAUAUCUAAACAUCGCUCUGCGGAAGAUUGUCGUACUUCUGCGGCCAGAGAAAGAGUUUAAAGUGGAGGGUAACCAUGUGAUUAUCCGAACGAUCAGCACCUUCCGGAACUACAUCAUGGAUUUCACCUUGGGGGAAGAAUUUCAAGAAGACCUGGGUCCCAUAGAUGGACGAAUCUGCAAGACCACUGUGUCCUGGGAAGGUGACAAGCUGGUGUGUGUACAGAAGGGUGAGGUGCCAAACCGUGGCUGGAAGCAGUGGCUGGAGGGAGAUGUGUUGCACGCGGAGCUGACGGCGAGGGAUGCAGUCUGUGUGCAAACCUUCCGCAGAGCAUAAUGUGGAGAAGACUGUGACCCUGCAUCACAAGUAGAAAUAUGUUUUCACGUAAUUGUUAUCAGCACUCUUCAUAUUACUGCUGUUAUAUCAUUAUCAAAAACUGAUCCAGGAAUAGGACCAGGGAACGGUGGGUGACCAGAGGUUGAUCUGGCCACUGUCUACA